AUAGCCUUCAAUCGACAUGGCGGAAAAGCGGCAACGCCCGGCUUGCUUGUGAAUUUAUACUAUAUAAUAAGAAGUCUAAUUUAUUAUCUAUAUCUGUGUUUGUAUAUCUAAAUUCAUGCUCACCUUUCAUAAUGUAUUAUGUAAUAAUUAUAAUAAAAUACGGACAGUGGACGGUAAUGUCAUAUACUCAUAUAUUAUGUUGUUUGUAAGACUGCUUGGUGUUUGGUAAGAUAUUUUUGUAUAAUUUCUUUUAUUUCAUUAUUAUGUCAAAGUUUGGGCUUAUCAUAGAGAGAGAAGAAUCUGAAGCAGUGAAAAUUGUAUUGAAAGCAAACGUAGGAGGAAAGACCAAAAAAAAAAAGAAGGUGGUUAGAUGCAAUUGGGAAUCUUAUGAGGACAGCAAAUGUAUGCAAGUUGCGGUUAUUGGGUUAAGUGGAGAGUAGAACAAAAGUGACAAAACCUAAAUAGUUGGGAUGAAGUAAGAGAAAAAAACAAUUUUUAUUAUAAAGAAACAAGUAUUUUCUUGUCUCAAUUAUAUCAAAAAAUAAAUAAUA